CUGCUCCCCUCAGGGUUGCAGUGGGUGUAGGCGAGGGAUGCCCAGCUUCAAGCCUUCUUGUCAGCAGCAAUGCCACUCAAUGUUUGCAGAGCCCUGAGCCGUCAGAAGCCUAGCAGUUGAGGUGGGACAGGGUGGUGAGAGUAAUCCUGGCCUUGGACUUGACACAGUUGAAAGUGACGUUUCCAUCUCUCAAACUCCCGGAGCCUUGUUCUGCACCUGCACGGGGACUCUUCCCGGCAGCACCCCCACUGGGGAUGCCUCAGCCUGGCCUUUCAGCCUGACACGUGCUUC